rnacentral:lncRNA from 1 species
CGAGUCUCCUCGACGAGGGCCACCCCCUGCUCCACGGCACCCAGUCCCAUCGACCACCCAAGGGCUGAGGAGUGCGGGCGCACGCAGGGGACUGGCAGGCAGCUCCACCUGCAGCCCCGGUGCGGGAUUCACCGGGUGAAGCCAGCUGGGCUCCUGAAUCUGGUGGGGCUUUGGAGAACCUUUACAAUCCCUGAGCUAGACAUAAAUACACCAAUCGGCACUCUGUAUCUAGCUCAAGGUUUGUAAACACACCAAUCAGCACCCUGUGUCUAGCUCAGGGUUUGUGAGUGCACCAAUGGACACUCUGUAUCUAUCUGCUCUGGUGGGGCCUUGGAGAACCUUUGUGUGGAUACUCUGUAUCUAAUCUGAUGGGGACGUGGAGAACCUUUGUAUCCAGCUCAGGGAUUGUAAACGCACCAAUCAGCGCCCUGUCAAAACAGACCACUGGGCUCUACCAAUCAGCAGGACGUGGGUGGGGCCAGAUAAGAGAAUGAAACCAGGCUGCCCCAGCCAGCAGUGGCAACCCGCUUGGGUCCCCUUCCACACUGUGGAAGCUUUGUUCUUUUGCUCUUUGCAAUAAAUCUUGCUACUGCUCACUCUUUGGGUCCAUGCUGCUUUUAUGAGCUGUAACACUCACCACGAAGGCCUGCAGCUUCACUCCUGAAGCCAGCGAGACCACGAGCCCGCCGGGAGGAACGAACAACUCCAGAUGUGCCGCCUUAAGAGCUGUAACACUCACCGCAAAGGUCUGCAGCUUCACUCCUGAGCCAGCGAGACCACGAACCCACCAGAAGGAAGAAACUCCGAACACAUCCGAACAUCAGAAGGAACAAACUCCAGACACACCACCUUAAGAGCUGUAACACUCACCGCAAGGGUCCGCAGUUUCAUUCUUGAAGUCAGUGUGACCAAGAACCCACCAAUUCCAGACACAUUAGCACUGGCUCCUUUUUUUUUUAGACGGAGUCUCGCUCUUUUGCCCAGGCCGGAGUGCAGUGGCGCGAUCUCGGCUCACUGCAAGCUCCGCCUCCCAGGUUCAUACCAUUCUCCUGCCCCAGACUCCCGAGUAGCUGGGACUACAGGCACCCGCCACUGAACCUGGUUAAUUUUUUGUAUUUUUAGUAGAGAUGGGGUUUCACCGUGUUAGCCAGGAUGGUCGCUAUCUCCUGACCUCAUGAUCCGCCAGCCUCGGCCUCCCAAAGUGCUGGGAUUACAGGGGUGAACCACCGCGCCCGGCCUCACUCCUUUUUAAUUACGCAAAUAUCUCUAGCAAGUGGUUGCUCCACAGCCUGCUUGUAUCCCUCUUUUGAGAAAGCUUUUUCUUUCUUUGCCACAUGGGCAGACUACAAAAUUUCCAAACUUUUAUAUUCUGCUUCCCUUUUAAAUGUAAGCUCCAACUUUCUUCAUCAUUUCCAUCUGAGACUCAGCAGCUUGGAUCUCGCUGUCCAUAUCACUAUCAGCAUUUUGGUCACAACAAUUUAACCAGUCUCUAAGAAGUUUUAAACCUUCCCUCAUCUUCCUGUCUUUUUCUGAGCCUUCCAAACUCUUUCAGCCUCUGCCUGUUACAUAGUUCCAAAAUGACUUCCACAUUUUCAGGUAUCUUUAUAGUAAUUCCCCACCCCGGUGCCAAUUUUCUCUUAGAUUGCUAUACAGAAAUAGCUGAGACUGGGUAAUUUAUAAGAAAAGAGGUUUAAUUGGCUCAUGGUUCUACAGGCUGUACAGGAAGCAUAGCAGCAUCUGCUUCUGGGGAGGCCUCAGGAAACUUCCAAUCGUGGCAGAAGGCAAAGGGGAAGCAGGCACAUCACAUGGUGAAAGCAGGAACAAGGUCAGGGGGCAGAUGCUACACACUUUUAAAUGACUAGAUCUCGAGAGAACUGAAAAGACAGUACCAAGCUAUGAGGGAUCCACCCCCAUGAUCCAAACACCUCUGGGCAGGCCCCACAUUCAGCACUGGGGAUUACAAUUCAACAUGAGAUGUGGGUGGGGACAAAUAUCCAAACUAUAACAGCCUAUAAUUCACAUUUUAUCAUCAAAGGAGCAAAUAUUAUUCUUGGGGCAAAACUGAGUAAAUAUUGUCGUCCCACAUGGAUGUGAACUAUUUCUAGUCUCUUUCCUGAUAGAAGUAGGGGAAAAAAUGCAUUUACUAAAUCAGUGGCUGUGUAUUAUGUACCUCACACUUAGUACCCCUACUGUGUGCAGUCAUUGAGUGGAAGUAAACCAGAAAGUGGCCUCAGUGUGAGAACUGAGGUGGAUCCAAAAAUGGCAGCUGGCUGGGCAUGAUGGCUCACACCUGUAAUCCUAGCACUUUGAGAGCCCAAGGCAGGCAAAUCACUUGAGGUCAGGAGUUUGAAACCAGACUAGCCAACAUGGUGAAACCCUUUCUCUACUAAAAAUACAAAAAAUUAGCCAGGCGUGGCCGGGCACAGUGGCUCAUGCCUGUAAUCCCAGCACUUUGGGAGGCCGAUGCAGGCAGAUCACCUGAGGUCAGGAGUUCGAGACCAGCCUGACCAACACAGUGAAACCCCGUCUCUACUAAAAAUACAAAAACUAGCUGGGCAUGGUGGCUCGCCACUGUAGUCCCAGCUACUCAGGAGGCUGAGGCAGGAGAAUCACUUGAACCUGGGAGACGGAGGUUGUAAUGAGCCAAGAUUGCACCACUGCACUCUAGCUCGGGCUACGGAGCAAGAAUCUGUCUCAAAAAAAAAAGAAAGAAAGAAAGAAAGAAAGAAAGAAAGAAAGAAAGAAAGAAAAAGAAAAAAUUAGCCAAACAUGGUGGUUCAUGCUUGUAACCCCAGCUACUCAGGAGGCUGAAGCAGGAGAAUCGCUUGAACCUGGCAGGCAGAGGUUGCAGUGAGCUGAGAUUGUACCACUGCACUUCAACCUGGGCAACAGAGUGAGACUCCAUCCCCACUCCCCCACAAAAAAAACAGCAGCUAGAGGCUGGCCAGGGAACUAUGUUUCUCAUAGAGGCCUGCCUGCCUGCCUGCCUUCCUUCCUUCCUUCUUUCCUUCCUUCUCUGUUUUUCUUUGACAUGAAUUAAAAAAUAAUUUUCAUUAUGUAUGCAUUAACAUUGUUUUACUGUGGCAAGAACACCUAACAUGAGUUCUACUCAAUGGCAUUUUAAGCGCACAAUGCAGUAUUGUCAUCUACAGGCACAAUAUUGUAUAGCAGAGCUCUAGAAUUCACCUUGCAUAAUUGAAAUGUUAUAUCCAUUGAUUAGCAACUUCCCAUUUCCUGCAACCACCAUUCUACUCUCUGUUUCUAUAAGUUUGAGUAUUUUAGAGACCUCAUAUAAGUGGAGUCAUGGAGUAUUUAUCCUUCUGGGACUGGCUUAUUCUCUUAGCAUAAUGUCCUCAAGUUCAUUAUGUUGUUGCAUAUUGCAGGAUUUCCUUUUUUAAAGCUG